rnacentral:sRNA from 1 species
GGAACAGCGGCCUCUGACACCAGCACAGCAAACCCGCUGGGAUCAAAGUGUACCAGUCGGCAGCAUGGCUACGAAAUGUGGGAACUGUGGACCCGGCUACUCCACCCCUCUGGAGGCCAUGAAAGGUAAUUGCCCAUGGUCUGAGAGCCAGCGCCCUACUACUGAUUCCACAGCUGGGGGUGGAGGGACUUCAGACCUAGCCCCCACCCUCUGGCACACCCAGCACUUCCCCUACCUUUCCUUCCCACCCUGCCGUCCCUGCUGCCUGCUUUCUACCCUGCAGGACCCAGGGAAGAGAUCGUCUACCUGCCCUGCAUUUACCGAAACACAGGCACUGAGGCCCCAGAUUAUCUGGCCACUGUGGAUGUUGACCCCAAGUCUCCCCAGUAUUGCCAGGUUAGGCGGGGCUUGGGCGCCAGCUACUUUGAGACCGUAGCUGCCCUCAUCCCUGGCCCUGGGCCCCCCCUUCCCAGCUCCAUCCUUCUUGGCCCUCCCUGGGGAUGCUUGUGCACGCUCAACCUGGGACAAGGGGAGUGCUGAAAUCCAGCUUGUGCCGUGCUUCCAAACCAAAAUGCAUCCACGGGGGCGCCUCUUCCAAAAGUGGACAGAGGCGUGGCCUGGGAGAGCACCACCUCUCCCUGCAUCCUAGGUCAUCCACCGGCUGCCCAUGCCCAACCUGAAGGACGAGCUGCAUCACUCAGGAUGGAACACCUGCAGCAGCUGCUUCGGUGAUAGCACCAAGUCGCGCACCAAGCUGGUGCUGCCCAGUCUCAUCUCCUCUCGUAUCUAUGUGGUGGACGUGGGCUCUGAGCCCCGGGCCCCAAAGCUGCACAAGGUCAUUGAGCCCGAGGACAUCCAUGCCAAGUGCGAACUGGCCUUUCUCCACACCAGCCACUGCCUGGCCAGCGGGGAAGUGAUGAUCAGCUCCCUGGGAGACGUCAAGGGCAAUGGCAAAGGGGGUUUUGUGCUGCUGGAUGGGGAGACGUUCGAGGUGAAGGGGACGUGGGAGAGACCUGGGGGUGCUGCACCGUCGGGCUAUGACUUCUGGUACCAGCCUCGACACAAUGUCAUGAUCAGCACUGAGUGGGCAGCUCCCAAUGUCUUACGAGAUGGCUUCAACCCCGCUGAUGUGGAGGCUGGACUGUACGGGAGCCACUUAUAUGUAUGGGACUGGCAGCACCAUGAGAUUGUGCAGACCCUGUCUCUAAAAGAUGGGCUUAUUCCCUUGGAGAUCCGCUUCCUGCACAACCCAGACGCUGCCCAAGGCUUUGUGGGCUGCGCACUCAGCUCCACCAUCCAGCGCUUCUACAAGAACGAGGUGACAUACGCCCUCUGGCCCUCCCCUCCCAGUAGUCUUGUCAGCAGCUCUACCUAAGCAGGCUUCUGUAACGGUGCUCCCAGGCAUCUCCAGGAACGAAAAAAAUGAGGCUGCAUGCCCUGUCUCUCUUCUCUCAGUGCUAGGGCAACUUCUGCCUGAACCCUAACUGGCCGUAUUUAUUCAUUCAUUCAAAAACUACUUAGUGAAUGUCUGUGCUAGGCACUGUGCUAUGUUCUGGGAAUGCAGUGGUGAAGCAGACACAACCCCUGCCUCAAGGGGCUUGCAUGGAGUUAGAUCCUGCUGGCAAGAAGGCCAGGCAUCUAUUCUCUCCCUCCCAGGUCUGGGCAACCCAGAUCUAACCCCUAGUCCCCAAUUCUGAUAGGCUCACCUCUCUGCCAGCUAACCUCACCCUCCACCCCUCAAUGUAGGGAGGUACAUGGUCAGUGGAGAAGGUGAUCCAGGUGCCCCCCAAGAAAGUGAAGGGCUGGCUGCUGCCCGAAAUGCCAGGCCUGAUCACCGACAUCCUACUCUCCCUGGACGACCGCUUCCUCUACUUCAGCAACUGGCUGCAUGGGGACCUGAGGCAGUAUGACAUCUCUGACCCACAGAGACCCCGCCUCACAGGACAGGUGGAGACCCUGGCAGGAGGAGCAGAAGGGAAGGAAGGAAGGAGAAGAGAAGCUGGGGAUGGGGUGGAUGAUCUGAAGCAGCUGCAGGAUGUUGAGGGAGGUGCAGGAAAAGCAGACAUGUGUGCUGUGGGACAGCACAGUCCCAGGACUGUCCAGGCCAGGGAUGGGCAUGCAGAGCAUGUCUGAAAGGAGAGAGGGGUUCCAGCCAGGCAAGCUGCUCUUCCUGCAAUGUUUGCGCCUCCCACUAUGGUCCUCCUUAUACUCUGCACCUCCCCAUCUAGCUCUUCCUCGGAGGCAGCAUUGUUAAGGGAGGCCCUGUGCAAGUGCUGGAGGACCAGGAACUAAAGUCCCAGCCAGAGCCCCUAGUGGUCAAGGGAAAACGGGUGGCUGGAGGCCCUCAGAUGAUCCAGCUCAGCCUGGAUGGGAAGCGCCUCUAUAUCACCACGUCACUGUACAGUGCCUGGGACAAGCAGUUUUACCCUGAUCUCAUCAGGGAAGGCUCUGUGAUGCUGCAGGUUGAUGUAGACACAGUAAAAGGAGGGCUGAAGUUGAACCCCAACUUCCUGGUGGACUUCGGGAAGGAGCCCCUUGGCCCAGCCCUUGCCCAUGAGCUCCGCUACCCUGGGGGCGAUUGUAGCUCUGACAUCUGGAUUUGAACUCCACCCUCAUCACCCACACUCCCUAUUUUGGGCCCUCACUUCCUUGGGGACCUGGCUUCAUUCUGCUCUCUCUUGGCACCCGACCCUUGGCAGCAUGUACCACACAGCCAAGCUGAGACUGUGGCAAUGUGUUGAGUCAUAUACCUUUACUCACCACUGUUGCUUGUUGCUCACUGUGCUGCUUUUCCAUGAGCUCUUGGAGGCACCAAGAAAUAAACUGGCAACCCUGUCCUUC